rnacentral:rRNA from 1 species
UGGGGAAUUUUGGACAAUGGGCGAAAGCCUGAUCCAGCCAUGCCGCGUGAGUGAAGAAGGCCUUCGGGUUGUAAAGCUCUUUUAGUCGGAAAGAAAGAGUUGCAAUGAAUAAUUGUGAUUUAUGACGGUACCGACAGAAAAAGCACCGGCUAACUACGUGCCAGCAGCCGCGGUAAUACGUAGGGUGCGAGCGUUAAUCGGAAUUACUGGGCGUAAAGGGUGCGCAGGCGGUCUUGCAAGUCAGAUGUGAAAGCCCCGGGCUUAACCUGGGAAUUGCGUUUGAAACUACAAGACUAGAGUGCAGCAGAGGGGAGCGGAAUUCCAUGUGUAGCAGUGAAAUGCGUAGAGAUGUGGAAGGACACCGAUGGCGAAGGCAGCUCCCUGGGUUGACACUGACGCUCAUGCACGAAAGCGUGGGGAGCAAACA